UUGAACCUGGCGGCAGGCCUAACACAUGCAAGUCGAGCGGUAGCACAGAGAGCUUGCUCUCGGGUGACGAGCGGCGGACGGGUGAGUAAUGUCUGGGAAACUGCCUGAUGGAGGGGGAUAACUACUGGAAACGGUAGCUAAUACCGCAUAAUGUCGCAAGACCAAAGUGGGGGACCUUCGGGCCUCAUGCCAUCAGAUGUGCCCAGAUGGGAUUAGCUAGUAGGUGGGGUAACGGCUCACCUAGGCGACGAUCCCUAGCUGGUCUGAGAGGAUGACCAGCCACACUGGAACUGAGACACGGUCCAGACUCCUACGGGAGGCAGCAGUGGGGAAUAUUGCACAAUGGGCGCAAGCCUGAUGCAGCCAUGCCGCGUGUGUGAAGAAGGCCUUCGGGUUGUAAAGCACUUUCAGCGGGGAGGAAGGCGAUGAGGUUAAUAACCUCAUCGAUUGACGUUACCCGCAGAAGAAGCACCGGCUAACUCCGUGCCAGCAGCCGCGGUAAUACGGAGGGUGCAAGCGUUAAUCGGAAUUACUGGGCGUAAAGCGCACGCAGGCGGUCUGUCAAGUCGGAUGUGAAAUCCCCGGGCUCAACCUGGGAACUGCAUUCGAAACUGGCAGGCUAGAGUCUUGUAGAGGGGGGUAGAAUUCCAGGUGUAGCGGUGAAAUGCGUAGAGAUCUGGAGGAAUACCGGUGGCGAAGGCGGCCCCCUGGACAAAGACUGACGCUCAGGUGCGAAAGCGUGGGGAGCAAACAGGAUUAGAUACCCUGGUAGUCCACGCCGUAAACGAAGUCGAUUUGGAGGUUGUGCCCUUGAGGCGUGGCUUCCGGAGCUAACGCGUUAAAUCGACCGCCUGGGGAGUACGGCCGCAAGGUUAAAACUCAAAUGAAUUGACGGGGGCCCGCACAAGCGGUGGAGCAUGUGGUUUAAUUCGAUGCAACGCGAAGAACCUUACCUGGUCUUGACAUCCACAGAACUUUCCAGAGAUGGAUUGGUGCCUUCGGGAACUGUGAGACAGGUGCUGCAUGGCUGUCGUCAGCUCGUGUUGUGAAAUGUUGGGUUAAGUCCCGCAACGAGCGCAACCCUUAUCCUUUGUUGCCAGCGGUUAGGCCGGGAACUCAAAGGAGAGUGCCAGUAAAAACU
rnacentral:rRNA from 1 species